rnacentral:rRNA from 1 species
GGAGGCGGCCUUGUAAGUUGGGGGUGAAAUCCCGGGGCUCAACCCCGGAACUGCCUCCAAAACUACAAAGCUAGAGGAUGUGAGAGGAUAGUGGAAUUCCGAGUGUAGAGGUGAAAUUCGUAGAUAUUCGGAAGAACACCAGUGGCGAAGGCGACUGUCUGGCACAUUUCUGACGCUGAGGUGCGAAAGCGUGGGGAGCAAACA